CACCAGACUACUGUAUUCCUUCCAAAGGGAAUGCACAUAUUGAAUAGAUUACUAAGGAGGAUCCUCGAAGUUGGCAGAGUCAAUUCAUUCAAGAGAUAGCAGCAGAGGACUGGAGAAGAUGAUGGCCAGAGCAGAAAGGGAAACCAGCGCAAAAACUAAUAAGGGGAAAGAAAAAGACUCACAGCAUCACUAGAAAAGGAGGAAAACUUCUUUUCCAGCAUGCAUUCGUGCAGUGGAUGGAAGUUCUCCAGGGACCAGGCUUUCUUCAAGGCAAUGGGGAGCCACGGAAAUCUUUGAAGCAGAGGAGUGUCCUAUUCAGAACUCUUCUAUUAAAUGAUUAUUGUGCAGCAGGGUGGAAGCUGGAUUAACAGGAGAAACACUGGAGACAAGGAAAUUCAAUUUAAAGUCUACUGCAAGAGCGCCUUGACACCAACAUGACCCUGACCGACAUUUUCCUUUUUCGUCAUGGCUGUACUUUUCCAUUUAAAUAAGAUGCAAGCCCAUUUCCAUGGGGAUUCCAGGAAGUCUGGAA
rnacentral:lncRNA from 1 species